rnacentral:rRNA from 1 species
AGAGUUUGAUCCUGGCUCAGAACAAACGCUGGCGGCGUGCCUAAUACAUGCAAGUCGAACGGGGAAAGCUUUCGGGUGAGUACUAGUGGCGCACGGGUGAGUAACACGUAGAUAAUCUGCCUUCGAGUUGGGGAUAACUAGUCGAAAGAUUAGCUAAUACCGAAUAAGACCACAGGAACUGAGGUUCUAGGGGUUAAAGGUUUUUCGCUUGAAGAUGAGUCUGCGCGAGAUUAGCUAGUUGGUGAGGUAACGGCUCACCAAGGCAACGAUCUCUAACUGGUCUGAGAGGAUGAUCAGUCACACUGGAACUGAGACACGGUCCAGACUCCUACGGGAGGCAGCAGUAGGGAAUAUUGCACAAUGGAGGAAACUCUGAUGCAGCGACGCCGCGUGAGUGAUGAAGGCCUUCGGGUCGUAAAGCUCUGUCGCAAGGGAAUAAUAAACUGAAUGUACCUUGCAAGAAAGGAUCGGCUAACUUCGUGCCAGCAGCCGCGGUAAGACGAGGGAUCCUAGCGUUGUUCGGAAUUAUUGGGCGUAAAGCGGGUGUAGGUGGCCAUGUAAGUCAGAUGUGAAAGCCCAGGGCUUAACCCUGGAAGUGCAUUUGAUACUGCGUGGCUUGAGUGUGGGAGAGGAUAGUAGAAUUCCUGGUGUAGUGGUGAAAUACGUAGAUNUCANGAGGAAUACCGGANGCGAAGGCGGCUU